rnacentral:rRNA from 1 species
UAAGACGGAGGGCGCGAACGUUGUUCGGAAUCACUGGGCGUAAAGGGCGCGUAGGCGGACCGGUAAGUCGAGGGUGAAAUUCCAGGGCUCAACUCUGGAACUGCCUUUGAAACUGCCGGUCUAGAGUGCAGGAGAGGAAGGCGGAAUUCCAGGUGUAGCGGUGGAAUGCGUAGAUAUCUGGAAGAACACCAGUGGCGAAGGCGGCCUUCUGGACUGACACUGACGCUGAUGCGCGAAAGCUGGGGGAGCAAACAGGAUUAGAUACCCUGGUAGUCCCAGCCGUAAACGAUGGGUACUAGGUGCUGGGUGCUUCGACGCAUUCAGCGCCGCAGCUAACGCAUUAAGUACCCCGCCUGGGGAGUACGGCCGCAAGGCUG